rnacentral:rRNA from 1 species
CUGCUGCCUCCCGUAGGAGUCUGGUCCGUGUCUCAGUACCAGUGUGGGGGACCUUCCUCUCAGAACCCCUACGCAUCGUCGCCUUGGUGGGCCGUUACCCCGCCAACUAGCUAAUGCGACGCAUGACCAUCCGUAGCCGGAAUCGCUUCCUUUAAACCCGAGGAGAUGCCUCCUCGGGUUGUUACGCGGUAUUAGACGGAAUUUCUUCCGCUUAUCCCCCUGCUACGGGCUAGGUUCAUACGUGUACU